UCCCUGUUGCCAGGGCAGUUUAGCUAGACAAUUCAACUAACUAUAAGGGUUGCGCUCGUUGAUGGACUUAACCAAACAUCUCACGACACGAGCUGACGACGGCCAUGCAUCACCUGUCACUGCGGCCCGAAGGCACAUUCUGCUUUCGCAGAACUUGGCAGGAUGUCAAGCCUUGGUAAGGUUCUUCGCUUAUCAUCGAAUUAAACAACACGCUCCACCGCUUGUGCGGGUCCCCGUCAAUUCCUUUAUGUUUUAGUCUUGCGACCGUACUCCACAGGCGGGAUGCUUAACGCGUUAGCUUCGCUACUAGCAGGGUCGAUACUGCUAACAGCUAGCAUCCAUCGUUUACGGCGUGGACUAC
rnacentral:misc_RNA from 1 species